GGGGCUGAAUUUUAAGCUCGACAGAGGACCUUAACAAUCUACGUUGCAAGCCGGUUUUUCACACCGUUACCGUGAUAAACGAAUAGAUGCAAAAACAUCUGCUCGCGAAGCUGUAGCUAACCUAUUUAAUAGAAGUGGUUUCAGCCUAGCACCAGCUUUAGUUUAAUCUAAAGCGACUAUUAGAAUUAACACCAGAUAGGUUUUAAUAGUCUUAUAUUUUUCUGGUUGCUAGCCUUAAUGCCAUUUGAGUUAAGGUUUUAAGAUUUUCAAAUUGCUAGUAAAAAUGUUUUGUUUGUUUAGCCAUUUUUACUUUAAGAACCCUAAACAAAAUAAGCUUGUAGAUAUGUAGUGUCGUUAACCACUGGACGCGGGGGCAGUACCCGCCAGCUCCACCA
rnacentral:tmRNA from 1 species